UACGUAGGGUGCAAGCGUUGUCCGGAAUUACUGGGCGUAAAGCGCACGUAGGCGGCUAUUCAAGUCAGAGGUGAAAGCCCGGGGCUCAACCCCGGAACUGCCUUUGAAACUAGGUAGCUAGAAUCUUGGAGAGGUCAGUGGAAUUCCGAGUGUAGAGGUGAAAUUCGUAGAUAUUCGGAAGAACACCAGUGGCGAAGGCGACUGACUGGACAAGUAUUGACGCUGAGGUGCGAAAGCGUGGGGAGCAAACAGG
rnacentral:rRNA from 1 species